rnacentral:rRNA from 1 species
GAGUUUGAUCCUGGCUCAGAACGAACGCUGGCGGCGUGCCUAACACAUGCAAGUCGAACGUGAUCCAGAGCUUGCCCUGGUGAAAGUGGCGCACGGGUGAAUAACGCGUGGAUAACCUACCCUGGUAUCCGGGAUAACAUUCCGAAAGGGGUGCUAAUACCGGAUAAGCCCACGGGCUCUUUGGAGCUUGCGGGAAAAGGUGGCCUCUAUUUAUAAGCUACUGUAUCAGGAUGGGUCCGCGUACCAUUAGCUAGUUGGCGGUGUAACGGACCACCAAGGCGACGAUGGUUAGCUGGUCUGAGAGGAUGAUCAGCCACACUGGAACUGAGACACGGUCCAGACUCCUACGGGAGGCAGCAGUGGGGAAUUUUGCGCAAUGGGGGAAACCCUGACGCAGCAACGCCGCGUGAGUGAUGAAGGCCUUUGGGUCGUAAAGCUCUGUCAGAGGGGAAGAAAUGAUAUAGUGCUAAUACCACUUUAUCUUGACGGUACCCUCAAAGGAAGCACCGGCUAACUCCGUGCCAGCAGCCGCGGUAAUAC